rnacentral:rRNA from 1 species
GUAACGGCGAGUGAAGCGGCAACAGCUCAAAUUUGAAAUCUGGCCUUCGGGUCCGAGUUGUAAUUUGUAGAGGAUGCUUUUGGUGCGGUGCCUUCCGAGUUCCCUGGAACGGGACGCCAUAGAGGGUGAGAGCCCCGUCUGGUUGGAUACCAAUCCUCUGUAAAGCUCCUUCGACGAGUCGAGUAGUUUGGGAAUGCUGCUCUAAAUGGGAGGUAUAUGUCUUCUAAAGCUAAAUACCGGCCAGAGACCGAUAGCGCACAAGUAGAGUGAUCGAAAGAUGAAAAGCACUUUGAAAAGAGGGUUAAACAGUACGUGAAAUUGUUGAAAGGGAAGCGCUUGUGACCAGACUUGGGCAUGGUUAAUCAUCCAGCGUUCUCGCUGGUGCACUUGGCCUGCCCAGGCCAGCAUCAGUUCGGUGCGGGGGAUAAAGGCUUCGGGAAUGUGGCUCCUCCGGGAGUGUUAUAGCCCGUUGUGCAAUACCCUGCGCUGGACUGAGGUUCGCGCAUCUGCAUGGAUGCUGGCGUAAUGGUCAUCAGCGACCCGUCUUGAAACACGGACCAAGGAGUCGUCCUCGUAUGCGAGUGUUCGGGUGUUAAACCCCUACGCGUAAUGAAAGUGAACGCAGGUGAGAGCUUCGGCGCAUCAUCGACCGAUCCUGAUGUUCUCGGAUGGAUUUGAGUAAGAGCAUACGGGGCCGGACCCGAAAGAAGGUGAACUAUGCCUGUAUAGGGUGAAGCCAGAGGAAACUCUGGU